UCAAAAUUCCCACUGUUUCUUCGAUUUCUUCGGAGAUCAACAACCAUUUCUCUUCUUUCACCGUUCUUUUCAUUUGCGUCGCUGGCUGUGCAUUUCUGACCGCUGUUCACAUUUUUCAAUCAGAUCGGUGGUUUUCCACCUGUUCGUAGACGUAGAUCGGCCGUUUGGAAGUAUUUCUCGUUCCAGGCGUGGUUUGACAUCAGAUUCAAGCUUGGCGUUCUGGAAACUGUAAAUUGAUUACUCAAUGUCAUUCCUAGUUCCUACACUGAUAGAUUUCAGAGACAUACUUUUUAAACUUGAAACUUGAACGUUUUGGACAGUAUGGUGAACCCUACACGCAGUGGAAACAUGAGAAAUCCUAAUGAGAUAAUGAGGAUUCUAGUUACAACAUUUGUUGGAGGCGUUUUUGGUUUCUUUUUAGGGGUAUCCUUUCCCACACUCUCAUUAUCCCAGCUAAACUUCCCA